rnacentral:misc_RNA from 1 species
GAUGAAGAACGCAGCGAAAUGCGAUAAGUAAUGCGAAUUGCAGAAUUCAGUGAGUCAUCGAAUCUUUGAACGCACAUUGCGCCCCUUGGCAUUCCGAGGGGCAUGCCUGUUCGAGCGUCAUUAUAACCCCUCAAGCUCAGCUUGGUGUUGGGGCCUGCUGCACUGGCAGCCCUUAAAAUCAGUGGCGGCGCCAUCUGGCUCUAAGCGUAGUAAUUCUUCUCGCUAUGGAGUCCUGGUGGAUGCUUGCCAUCAACCCCCAAUUUUUCUAUGGUUGACCUCGGAUCAGGUAGGGAUACCCGCUGAACUUAAGCAUAUCAAUAAGCGGAGGA